rnacentral:rRNA from 1 species
GUGGGGAAUAUUGGACAAUGGGCGAAAGCCUGAUCCAGCCAUGCCGCGUGUGUGAAGAAGGUCUUCGGAUUGUAAAGCACUUUAAGUUGGGAGGAAGGGCAGUAAGUUAAUACCUUGCUGUUUUGACGUUACCGACAGAAUAAGCACCGGCUAACUACGUGCCAGCAGCCGCGGUAAUACGUAGGGUGCGAGCGUUAAUCGGAAUUACUGGGCGUAAAGCGUGCGCAGGCGGUUUUGUAAGUUGGAGGUGAAAUCCCCGGGCUCAACCUGGGAACUGCCUCCAAAACUGCAUGACUAGAGUACGGUAGAGGGUAGUGGAAUUUCCUGUGUAGCGGUGAAAUGCGUAGAUAUAGGAAGGAACACCAGUGGCGAAGGCGACUACCUGGACUGAUACUGACACUGAGGUGCGAAAGCGUGGGGAGCAAACAGGAUUAGAUACCCGUGUAGUCC